rnacentral:lncRNA from 1 species
GGGGCGGUAACAUGUCCAGUGCAUUUCUAUAGAAAGAUAAUCUGGACAGCAGAGUGUAAUAUAGACUGAAGCAGGGAGAUAAAGGAGGAUGGGAAAGAAGGGUUGGCAUGGGUCCAUGGGCUUAGUGUCUCUGCAAAGCAGGAUUCAACUGUCUUCUUUCUUUCCACAGAAAAUCACCACAGAGAAUCUUGGGAAGAAAGGCCAUGAGGGAGUGAUGACAAGGAAUGAUCCUUCUGGACUUUCAAAGGGAUAUUUAUUCCUGGGAUCCAGCACUGAUCUGGGGAAAAGAAAUUAAAUAACUUUUGACCGACAUGGAGACAAGAAACAAGACCAUCAUCUCUUCCCCGUCCUGAUAUGCGUGUCCCACACCACAGCCAGGCUCCGAGAUGCCCCCAGGUGAGCAGCCCCAGGAUGACCAGACACCCGACAUCACCAUCCCCGCAGAAGCCACUGAGCCACGGAAAGGUGGCCGCCCGCCACCCCUUCCCCUCCCCCCCCGCCCCAGAGGCCACCAACAGAGGCCGGGCCUUCUUCCGAGCAACUCUGGGUGGCCUCCGCUCUCAGCGUCCGUCCCACCGGCCGGGGUGUGGCCGGCCCUCCCGUCUUCAUCAUUCGAUCCACAGUAUUUAUCCAGCACUAACCUCGGGCGGAGCCCUGUACUAAGCUCUCAGGAGAGUCCGAUCCCACAGAAUUAGCAGACCGGUUCCCUGCCCAUAGAGAGCUAACAGUCUAUAAGAGGAGGGAGCUAGACAUUAAUAGGAAUAAAGAAUGGGUGGAGAUGUUGCCUGCCCAUGUAACGAGCUUUAUUGUGCAAAUGGGCCCAAGGACCUAGACCUGCCCCGCCCCCCUCCUCCAAACCGUUGCUCUUUGGUGGUCUUCCCUAUCCAGACUCAGGGGGGUAUGAAUGACAAGGAUGAUGAAAACUGUUCAUUCAUUCCUUCAUUCAUUCAACUGUAUUUAUCGAGUGUUUUCUGUGGGCUGAGCACUAAGUGCUGGGGAGAGUACCACACAGCCGUAUAACAGACACUUUCCCUGCCCACCACGAGCUCACAGUCCUGAGGGGGAGGCAGACGUUAAUAUGGAUAAAUAAACGAAUGCAUUAUAGCUCCUUGACCCGUGUUAAGUGCCAAAAGCGGGGCUAGAUGUCAGAUGAUCCGGUUGGACACGGCCCCCACCCCGCAUGGGACUUCCGAUCUGGCGGGGAGGUCUUGCCGGUCGUGGGCGGGGAAUGUAUCUGUCU